AUUGAACGCUGGCGGCAGGCCUAACACAUGCAAGUCGAACGGUAACAGGAAGCAGCUUGCUGCUUUGCUGACGAGUGGCGGACGGGUGAGUAAUGUCUGGGAAACUGCCUGAUGGAGGGGGAUAACUACUGGAAACGGUAGCUAAUACCGCAUAACGUCGCAAGACCAAAGAGGGGGACCUUCGGGCCUCUUGCCAUCGGAUGUGCCCAGAUGGGAUUAGCUAGUAGGUGGGGUAACGGCUCACCUAGGCGACGAUCCCUAGCUGGUCUGAGAGGAGGACCGGCGACACUGGAACUGGGACACGGUCCAGACUCCUACGAGAGGCAGCAGUGGGGAAUAUUGCACAGUGGGCGCAAGCCUGAUGCAACCGUGCCGCGUGUAUGGAGAAGGCCUUCGGGUUGUAAAGUACUUUCAGCGGGGAGGAAGGGAGUAAGGUUAAGACCAUUGCUGAUUGACGUUACCCGCAGAAGAAGCACCGGCUAACUCCGUG
rnacentral:rRNA from 1 species